rnacentral:precursor_RNA from 15 species
GCGCUGUCCCCGCAGCCGGGCACCGCGGGGUGAGGUAGUAGGUUGUGUGGUUUCAGGGUAGUGAUGUUGCCCCCUCGGAAGAUAACUAUACAACCUACUGCCUUCCCUGAGGCGGCCAGUGAUACAUCCCCAGGGG